rnacentral:rRNA from 1 species
AUGAACGCUGGCGGCGUGCCUAAUACAUGCAAGUCGAGCGAACAGACGAGGAGCUUGCUCCUCUGACGUUAGCGGCGGACGGGUGAGUAACACGUGGAUAACCUACCUAUAAGUCUGGGAUAACUUCGGGAAACCGGAGCUAAUACCGGAUAAUAUAUUUAACCGCAUGGUUCAAUAGUGAAAUACGGUUUUGCUGUCACUUAUAGAUUGAUCCGCGCCGCAUUAGCUAGUUGGUAAGGUAACGGCUUACCAAGGCAACGAUGCGUAGCCGACCUGAGAGGGUGAUCGGCCACACUGGAACUGAGACACGGUCCAGACUCCUACGGGAGGCAGCAGUAGGGAAUAUUCCGCAAUGGGCGAAAGCCUGACGGAGCAACGCCGCGUGAGUGAUGAAGGUCUUCGGAUCGUAAAACUCUGUUAUUAGGGAAGAACAAAUGUGUAAGUAACUAUGCACGUCUUGACGGUACCUAAUCAGAAAGCCACGGCUAACUACGUG